AUGACUAAACUAAUCACAGCUCAAGAAGCGUUGCCAUUAAAAAACUGCAUCAACUUUGCUAGCUUGCCUCCAGCCUUUGCCUCCAGUUCUAGUACUUUUUGCUCAUCAAGCUUCUUCUGUUGUGAUGCACACGUCACAGCACCACCCCGACCCUGCAGCCUGCUCCACGCCGUUGCGCCAGCCAUGGGUACGAUUUGCUACUUACUAUGGUGCACUGCAGGUGAUCUUUGUUUCGUCAUACCAACGAUCACACCCACCCAACCACGGCCACUGCAACUCUCUCUCCAUAACCAAUCUUUUCUCUGUGCUGGGCCAGAAUGGUUAGCAGUAAAAAUUAUUUAG
rnacentral:rRNA from 1 species